rnacentral:ribozyme from 1 species
AACACGCACAAAAAAAAAGAAAGGGAAAAAAAAGGAAAAUAUAAAGGUUGUG